rnacentral:lncRNA from 13 species
UGAGAGAUCAUUUUUGUUGACAACAAAAAUGUUUAAAUUUGCAGAUUCGCAUGGAUAGUGUGGGAGUAAAGCCUUAUGACGAAAAUAUUGACCUAUGACAACAGGAAACCGCAAUUAUCGCUGUUAUGAAGAGUGAAAGUGAAGUUUAAAAAUAAUAGUUUAGAAUGUGGUCUCGUACAAGAUAAUGGCAAUUCUUGAUGAAUUAAAGAUGAAUUAAAUUGUGAACAUUGUAGAUCAAAUUCUCUUCUCUGUAUAAAGUUUUAAAUUCUCGAACAAAGUAUUUUAAGAGAUCUUGUGCGUAUUGAUUGUUAUGAAAACAGUUUACAGGAUGGCACAAAAUUCUCAUAGCGCAGUUUAAUGCAUUAAAAUAAACAUAAUAAUGCAAUGGCAAAAUUGUUUUUAAUGCUGCUGGUCCUAUGUACAACAAAAAAAGCCGAAAUUCUGUUGCUUUCCAGCGCUCAAACUCUUCCAAACUUCUUCAUUUUCUUUGAAAUUCUUGUGGUACCCAUGUUGAUAAAGUCACCAAAAAGCCUGAUAGUUGUUUAAUUUUUAUUGCUGUUAGUCUGCAAUCUCGUCGUCCACGUAACCACAAUAUGAACAACUUUUUCAUUACCCCUAAACAACAUAAAUGCAUAUAGUCUAAGGGAAAUUGCAUUUUUAAACCAAUUAAUUCAAAUGAAGAGUUUUCAACGUGAUGUUCUUCAUAGGUUCUCGAGCGAAAAUUAUCAUCAGUCCGUUUAAAACUGUCUAGAUCCAGAAAAGAACUCGAUUGUGUAAAUAUUUGCCUUCUUGAAUGCAUAAUCCACAACCAAAAUGUGCAUUAUGACUUUUCACGCAUUUUACAUAUGAUCGAGCUGGGGUAUCGCAAAUAACUGCAUUUAUUACAACUUUGUAAUGUUUUUGUGCAUAUUGAAAUCCUUCUUUUAUUAAUUUGUGUAACUUUCUGUAAUGAAAUUCUUCAAAUAUUCGCUAACUGAAGAAGGUUUUGCAUUUCCAUGAUAAACACCUAUAACAAUAAUGCGCGCAUAUAGUAUUCCUUUUAAUAGCUAGUAAUAUUAGACAGUAAAAAACGCAAAAGAUCUCCGGUUAACAAAAAUGCAGAAAAAGUACGUCUUACAAACUUUAUGUUUAUUUUAUGCAUUUUACGUAUAUAUAAUGAAUUAUGAAAUAUGUUAACAUGUAAGGUUAACAUGUAAGCUGUUGUGUAAUGUUGAAUGUAAGGAAACGAAAGAUUUGUAACCCUAAGGGGAAUAAAUAAAGCAAUUAUUAUUUAUUAAGUAA